GCUCGAACUAUAACUGGAAGGGACAAAAAGGGAGAGAUGUGUGCUUUUCAAGGGACUGAAGGUGCAGGCCAUGAUCUACAAAGCUGUACGGAAGAACCGUGGGUGUAUGGAGGCUUCGGAUAAAGUUAGUGCAGGAGCCAUCACAGAGUGGAGACCAAUGCUUCAGCAGACAGUGCUGUUCCACCUGUCCGUCAUCCUUCCCACCCGAGCUGCCAUCCGCAUCAGAGAGCGACGACUCCUCUCCCAGCGACAGAGAAGUCUAGAGAUAUACACGUAAUGUCUACGAUGACUGCAAUGCCACCUACAGCUGCCGAAUGCCAGUACUGGUCACAUAGCCAUUUGCUUCCAACGGCAACAGCAGGCAGUCCUGACAGUCCUUUGUCACUGGCUCUCCCCCACGCUCAAGAGCUGUCUCCCACAUAUAACACUUCUGUGCUUUUGCCUCCUUUUACUCCUCUACACUGGCAUGUAUGCCUAACUUUGCUGCAUAAGGAACAUCAGGCUUAUCACCAAGCCACUCUUGACCCUAAUUGGGACGCUUGCUGAUAUUUAGCAACAAUGUCUCAUAUUUGAGAUAUCUAAUAAUUACAUAUAAGAAGGUUUUAGUAUGUUAAAAUGAAGGCAUGUGGAUCUGAUAGUGUUCUAAGUGCAUUUUUCAUAAAGCCGCUUUACCAGACAUACAUGAACUUUUAAUUGUUCAGCCUUAUUUUAGGGUAUGGAAAUUCUCAUAUUAUUAAUUAAUUGGAAUGAUAUGUCCCUUGUAGAAGGGUAGAGAUGAUAAUGUGCAUGUUGUUAUCUACAACAGGGUAACUGUACUUUUUGGUGUAUUUUGUACAUCAUCCAAUUCUAUUUACAAUUCACUGUUUUUUUGUAAAUCUAAAGGUUUAUAAGUUUAGUUUAAUUAUAUAAGUUUAAUUAUUCCUUGGCACUCUGCACGGAGCACAGUGCCGCACCACCUCCCCUUUAAGUAUUUGAAAUUGAAAUAUUUAAAAGUAUUAAUUUAAGAAAAAAUCCUAUGCAUUGAUUUGUCAGUGUUUAAUUAAUUCAUAUUCUUGUUCUCUUUUUUGAGUAUCAUUUAUUCAUUUUUGUCACAAAUGGUCACCAUUUUGUACUUGCUAUUGUAUAAUGUAAAUUUGUCUCCUGGAUGGAUCCACAAUGACACGAAAUAUGUUUUAAUUACAACAAAUGAAAAUCUU